AGAGUUUGAUCAUGGCUCAGGACGAACGCUGGCGGCGUGCCUAACACAUGCAAGUCGAACGGAGAAUUUGAUAAGUUUACUUAGAAAAAUUCUUAGUGGCGGACGGGUGAGUAACGCGUGGGUAACCUACCCAUAAAUCCGGGACAACCCUUGGAAACGAGGGCUAAUACCGGAUAAUCUUAGAGCCUGGCAUCAGGUUUUAAGGAAAGAUGGCCUCUGAAGAUGCUAUCGAUUAUGGAUGGACCCGCGUCUGAUUAGCUAGUUGGUGGGGUAAAGGCCUACCAAGGCGACGAUCAGUAGCCGGCCUGAGAGGGUGAACGGCCACACUGGGACUGAGACACGGCCCAGACUCCUACGGGAGGCAGCAGUGGGGAAUCUUCCGCAAUGGACGAAAGUCUGACGGAGCAACGCCGCGUGUAUGAUGAAGGUCUUCGGAUUGUAAAGUACUGUCUUUGGGGAAGAACGGUGGCUUUGAAAAUAUUGAGGCCACAUGACGGUACCCAAGGAGGAAGCCCCGGCUAACUACGUGCCAGCAGCCGCGGUAAUACGUAGGGGGCAAGCGUUGUCCGGAAUUAUUGGGCGUAAAGGGCGCGUAGGCGGAUUGUUAAGUCCGGUGUGAAAGAUCAGGGCUCAACCCUGAGAGUGCAUCGGAAACUGGGAAUCUUGAGGACAGGAGAGGAAAGUGGAAUUCCACGUGUAGCGGUGAAAUGCGUAGAUAUGUGGAGGAAC
rnacentral:rRNA from 1 species